CCGCGCCGCCUUCUUUGUCCUGGGGCGUCAGGCACAGCCCCCUUCCCGCGGAGGAUAACUCUAUUCUUUAGGCGCCAGGCCCGGGAUUAACCCCUUGCUGACCGUCCUUUAGCCCUAAACCUCGCUCAGAUCUCCACCGCCAUCCUGGUUCUGGAGCGAGCAGGGAAAGACCACCCGGGGGUAUGGGUAGGGAGGUGAAGGUGCCGCCCCAGGAAGUGAGGAAACCUGGUGAGAUUGAGGCGCCUUUCAGGACCUAUGCCUAUUUACUGUCUCUGGAGCUCUUUGGGCUCCUGCAGGUAGAGCUUUGAGGACCCGGUGAAAGGUGAAGGUACGGUAGUCUUGUUUUUCUGUACCCAUUUCAUAGACAGACUCAAGCUUGCUUCGAUGGUGUUUUUUAGAGUAGUCACUGGUACAGCAUGCCACUGCCAUAACCUAGAUCGCUACGCUGGGACACCAGGUUAUACUUUGACUGUUAUUCAUUGCUUCAAAAGCAGUUGACUAAAGAGUUAAUAUUUCCACCCAGGAAAAACAGACUUCCUUCCUACCUUUGGACUGAGGAUUUAUGGAAAUGAAGUUCUAUUUAUGGAAGGCAGGACAAUUGCCGGUGUCUAUCUGAUUCCAUUUGUGGCUGACCUCACACCUUCCCAGCCCAUCUUUUUAUUCCAGCUUUGCUGUGGCAGCCUGCUACAUACGGAUGUAACCGGAGAAGACCUUGCUUCAGCUGUACUUGAUAAUCUCAGGGCCUCUCUGUCACUGCAGUCUGGACCCCUGCAAGAAGCCACAGCCCAUUCUGACAUAAACCUGGAAGUACAAAGGAAUUAACACGUCCUUGGACAACCUCUGACCAAAGUGAACAGAAGCUAGUGGAGAAAUGUUCCACUCUUACGUGGGCAGUUACGAGGUACAUUUUGUACAACACCUAAGAUGACAGAACCCUGGCUGCCAGUGGUAGUGUCCAACUUAAUCAGCUCAGUAGUCCACCCUCGGAUUGCCUUUUUCUUUCCUGCCUUAACUGUUUGACUCUUACCAGUCCUCCAGUCCUGUUCCUUGGUAUUCAUUCCCCAAAUAAACUACCUGAUA